UACGGAGGGGGCGAGCGUUAUUCGGAAUUAUUGGGCGUAAAGGGCGCGUAGGCGGCUUGACAAGUCAAAGGUGAAAUCCCUCGGCUCAACUGAGGAACUGCCUUUGAAACUGUCUGGCUUGAGGCCGGGAGGGGGUAGCGGAAUUCCCAGUGUAGCGGUGAAAUGCGUAGAUAUCAGGAGGAACACCGGUGGCGAAAGCGGCUCUCUGGAACGGUACUGACGCUGAGACGCGAAAGCGUGGGGAGCGAACAGG
rnacentral:rRNA from 1 species